rnacentral:rRNA from 1 species
UGAGGAAUAUUGGUCAAUGGGCGAGAGCCUGAACCAGCCAAGUAGCGUGCAGGAUGACGGCCCUAUGGGUUGUAAACUGCUUUUAUGUGGGGAUAAAGUGCGUGACGUGUCAUGCAUUGCAGGUACCACAUGAAUAAGGACCGGCUAAUUCCGUGCCAGCAGCCGCGGUAAUACGGAAGGUCCGGGCGUUAUCCGGAUUUAUUGGGUUUAAAGGGAGCGUAGGCUGUCUAUUAAGCGUGAUGUGAAAUUUACCGGCUCAACCGGUGGCUUGCAGCGCGAACUGGUCGACUUGAGUAUGCAGGAAGUAGGCGGAAUUCAUGGUGUAGCGGUGAAAUGCUUAGAUAUCAUGACGAACUCCGAUUGCGCAGGCAGCUUACUGUAGCAUAACUGACGCUGAUGCUCGAAAGUGCGGGUAUCAAACAGG